rnacentral:lncRNA from 10 species
CAAUUCCUCAGGCUUCUUUCUUUUCUUUCUCCUCUGCCUCAGGUGUUGCCAAUCCAAUUCCUCGGGCUUCUUUCUUUUCUUUGUCCUCUUCCUCAGGUGUUUCCAAGCCAACACCUCAGGCUUCUUUCUUUUCUUUCUGCUCUUCCUGUUUGUAAAAUCUUCUCUAGCAGUAUAAAAUUUAGCUCCCAUUAUCCUCAACGUAUUUAAUUAUUUACUUCAUCAAUUUGCCGUUGAAGAGCUGCCAUCAAGCUGCAUUCUCUGCCUCUCCCUGCUGCAGUCUGUAUCCAGGACUGGCUUGCUGACCUGUACCUCAGAGAAAGGAAGGAAAGAGAAGGGAAAAUAGAAACAGAAGCAAUGUGUGAACGAUCCAGUUGCUCUACGUCCUUGCCAGCAGUUAGUAUGGAGUGAAUCAGGGAGCCCAGCCCUGCUUGAGAAAUAGAUCUUUUGAAGACAGCUGUGCUACUUUUAAUCCAAGCAUCAAGCCUGGAAAAUCCACUCAUUUAGCAAACACUUAUUAGGGUAAAUUAUGUGCUAAACCCCCUCCAAUCCCAUUACCACUCUCAGACUCCUACCCACCUGCCCUAAAUGUUCACAGUCAUGAUGAUUGGCAGGUUCCCUUGAAGCAGGGCCUGGACAGGGACUCUUGUGUUAGUGUUCUCAGGGGAAGAGAAGUGAGGGCAGCAGGAUAAGGCAAAACAAGCUAAGCAUGCAUGUGGCCCAGCUAGAAACUAACUGUAGCCUGGCCCCACAGGGAGCUCUGGAGCAUGAAUUUCACUUCAGAAUUGGCCCUACCUUGAGACAAGGGCUGACUUUUGUCUUCCCUUAAUCAAUGGCUAUAAGCUGGUAAUGUAUACUAAAGGAUAUAGUGGCUCCUACUUAGCCAAGGGUGACUCUGUAGAAAAGGAGAAUCUAUAAGCUAACAGUGAACAUUCUUAGAAGCUAGAGUGUUCGUGCAUCAGCCUGGUAAAGGAGGUCUGGAUGGGGCACCAAGAGCAUCCACAACAGAUGAGCACAAAUAUGUUGUUUAUAAAGAAAAUGCUCCAUCCAGAGAAUCUGGGAAAUAAUAAAGAAGAAUCUUGAGUGAGAAACACAAUGGAGGCCUAAUUUUACAGAAGAUAGGGCCUGCAUGAGAUGACAUGAAGUAUAGUUAGAAAGGUCAUAUAUUGCUAGGGAACUGGUCCUUCUAAACAAUUCUCUGUUUAGAGAACAAUUACAGAAGUGUAGAUAAAACAAUUCUUCAAGAACGCUAUUCUGUUUUUAAUAAAAAAGAAAAAUACGGAGAUUCAGGGAGAUGAUUCAAGAUGUGAUCAAUAUCACGCUAAAUAAAACUCUUCUAGCUUUGUAAUUGACCUACUUUAUUAAUUACUUUAUGUACGGCUAGCCUGGUUAUCCUGAGCCUUCCAUGACAGUAUAAUAGUGUGAGGGGAAUCCCUAAAGCCCGGUCUUGUUUUGGUUUUAAUUCCUAAUAGUUUUCUAUGUCUCUAUCACAGAGUUCCCAGUUAUCAGAAGAUCAG